rnacentral:lncRNA from 1 species
GUGGUAGUUGUCAGUGAGCUGUUAACAGUUAUAACACAUUAUAAUACCUGACCUUGUAAGUCAUGAUAAAAUGGUUCAUAACGUGUUAUGAUUAUUGCUAUAAAGCAUUAUGAUCAUUUAUGAGUGUUUAUAACUAUAGUCAUACAGCGCUAUAACAUAAUUAUAACGCAUUAAUCAUAUAAUUAUGAUGUGUUAUAGAAAUAGACAUCAAGUAAAGUGUUACAAUAUUUCCAUUAAAGCUGCAGCAUCACUUGUCUUGGCUGUAUGUGCCACUCUGGAAAAUACCAGGCUCUUAUCCUCUCAGUGCUGCUGUCUGUUUGGGGAUUUUUAGCAGAGUUCCCACUGAAGGUAGUCGAUUCCCAUGGGUCUGGUAGAAAGAAGUGACAAAUGGUCAAAACACUAUGCUAAAAGAAGGUCAAACAUCUCUAAAACAGAGAGGACAUGCAGAUGCAGCUAAUUCCUUUUGAGUGAAUCAAUAUAGGAGUAGGAGUCAGCCUAUCACAACACACAGUUUGUUUACAUGUACAGCUGGGUCGAGUAACCAUUGAAGCCUGAUUAGGAGAUUUCACUGAACUACUGUCCUUGUUUCAGUUUACAAGCAUCAGGCAAGAAUCAAAAUAUUGACAGAGGCAUGUCUGCCUCCACUGCAGCAGAUGGUGACAUGCCCCUGUUCUGUCUGCUACUACAGGGUCGCCUCUGGUUUGACCUCCCACAUCAAGUACCAAAACAAGCACAAAAACUUGUUAGCAAGAGGCUAUAAAUAGUGCAAUUUAGUCUAAUUCCAGUCAGAUUAACCUGUUCAUAUGUAUUUAAAAGUCCACUUUUAUUGUCCACUGCAGUCCAUGCACACCCCAAACACUGAGAUUAUGCAUUGAGCGGUUGGUUUUCAACCCUGGCACCGUGAACAAACACUGAAAAAUAUCACGAGGUGAUAGAGGAGCCAAACGGACUAAUCAGCAUUGUAUCAUCAACUCUUGUAAUGGCUUGGGUGAAACAGAUAUUUACAGAUACGUAGAAGUUAUCCACUAUAGCUUUAAAAAUAAUAAGUGCAGUUUUUUCUUAUCUGUAUGUCCAUGUAGAUUCUCAUUCAUCCAGGUCAUGUUAUCUUGAAGACUUAAAAACAGGCAACUGGUCUGUGUAGAGUUGAGAAGAUGUUUCGCCUCUUGUCCAAGGAGCUUCUUCAGUUCUAAAAUUGCUAGUGUGAGGAGCAGAUAUUUAUCUUACUGGAGAAGGGGACAGACAACGACUGGGAGGAGUUGGAAAGAAUGGGUCGUAGAAACCCAUCUCUGGGUGUGUGUGUGUGUGUGUGUGUGUCCCCAAGUCGUUAACCUGAAAGGGUCGUUUACAACCCCUGUCAUGUGACCAACAUGACUCAUGCCACCUGGAUCAUGUGGUUCCAGGUGUGAAUGUUUGUGGAGCUUCCUGGGGAGAGAGCUGAGAACUGCAUUGUAAGUGCCGGAGAGAUUGUGCCUGAGUCUACCCCCUCUGUUCAGAGAAGGUUUCUCCAGCCUGGGGCCGUAUGCACGUUGCUUGGCAAAACGCAUUUAGCCCGCUUAACGCGUUUAACUCCUAAACGCCAAAAAUGUCGGUAUGCACGUCACUUCGUUCCUAUACGGAUUUUCGCGUUUAAAGUUAUCGCACCUCUGGAGGUCCAAUAGCGGGUCUAAACGCGUUUAAUUAUGGCGGCACUCUUGUUGUUCCAAGAAAGACAGCGGCGACAAUUGUGUCGAAACAGGAUUUUUCGUGACAGAAAACACCCCUUCGACACGUAUGACGACCACGAAGUGUUCCGUAAGUUUAGAUUUCGACGGCACCAUAUUCUCGACCUCACGCAGGAGAUUUCCGCUGAAAUUGAACUUUCGAACCGAGGAUUCACCCUCACUCCACUACAACAAGUCCUCGUAACCUUACGGUACUACGCCACUUCUUCUUUCCAAGACGUGUGUGGGGAGUUGGUAGGAGUGGAUCAGUCGACAGUCAGUUGAACCGUCACUCGAGCGUCACUCGACCCGUUUAAGACACAGUAAACGCGGUUAGCUAUACGGUUCCGUUUACAGCAUGGUGCAUACCAAAAUCGUAUAGGAACUAAACGCGUUUAAGGCCCGUAUAACUAAACGCGUUUAAGCCCUAAUCGCGUUUACGCUAAACGCUUUCAACGUGCAUACGGGCCCUGGUAAAGAUGGCUUCUUUAACUCCUCUUUGUUUUUAAGUCUUCAAGGUUUCUUAUGUGUAAUUUAUACCGAAUCACAAACUGCGUAGAGUGGACAGUAGUUUUAAAUUAUUUGAUUUGGUUUUUGGCUGUUUUCCUCGGGUUUUCAGUGACUUUACAUGCGCAGGUGAGCAGAUCAGUAAAAGUAUUGGUCAGCAGUGACAUCAGCUAUGCGUAUUUGUCUCUCAGCUUUGAAGCUUAACUGCCCAGUCAAACAUAUAUUCCUUACAUAUUGAUUACAGAAAAAAGAGGGCCUAAAAUAUAAAUGCAAGAGUAUCACACAGUUCAAAUUCAUUCUACUAUUAACAGGCCUCUGUGACACUGAACUAUAGCUGCACCUUGAGACAAAUCAUGCUUUAUCAUCUGUAAAAGUCUGAAAAAGACCAGUUUACAAAUGAGCAUUCAGUCGGCUUAUAUACAUUCAUCCUUGGAUUUGUUACAUAGGAAAUCUCACUGUUUCUGAACCUGCUGUUUGAAUCCGCGAGAGAUUCACAGCGAUUUAAAAGCAGAAAUACUCAGAAAUGCAAUUUUGCACUUAUUUUUCUCAGAAAUCAGAAAAAUGCCACAUGAACAUGUAGACAACAAGAAAAACAUCAUUUUAAUCGAAGUGGGUUUUUAAAAUAUGGUAAUUUCCAGCAAAAAAAAGGGGUACCCUCCACGUUUUUUUUUUUUUUUUUGGCCAACGCUGGUGGAUCCCUGACAUUCACAUGAGCUGAGGACUGCCUGCAGAAAUGGCUGGGCAGAUGAAACAUACCCACGUCACAAUUACAGAGCCAUGUUUUUGUGAAAUGACUACGUUUUGGGCAGUGGACCAACAUAGGUAUUACAUGUUUUGAAGUGAGCCUGCUUUAAAAUUCUUGAAACAACAAGAACUGACCAGUCACAACCUCUGUAUUCCUACUCAGCCUUGACCCCUGUACUAACCCCAAGAGCAAACACAUCCUGGGUUGAGCUGAAUAUUUUGUGACGAGAACAUGAACGCCAAGAUAAUCCCAUUUUCUCUUUCGAUGCCUCUUCAACAACUGCUCGUUCUGUUCUGACUUUGUAAAAAUAAAGUUGUUCUUCCUUAUUAGCUGUGUCUUGCAGUGUUAUUCGAGCUAUACCAUAGUAAAGAUAGAGAAGAAAAUGAAUCACAAGCUCACAGCCCAAAGGUCACACCAACAGCAGAAGCACUGACAGUGUGACUCACUCUUCUUCACUUAAGAUCUAUUCAUAUCACAAGGAUUUUACUCAAGUACGGUUGGUAGCCUAUUUGAAGACAAGAGGUUACAAAAGAGACAAAGGACACAGAAAGAAGAAGUGAAAAUGUUUUUCAGGAGGUCCUUCUGCUUUUUUGUCAAAGGGGAAGGUCUAAAAAUGACUAAAAAUGUGCUGUGUGAAGUGAUGAAACCUCCCCCUUUCACUGAAACUUAAGUGAGAGCCCCCUCACAUGACAAACAUGAAACUACUCUGCUGAGUACCUAUCAGAUGCUCUGUGUAGUUUCUGAAGAAACCCCAGCACAGAGGGUUUUUUUUGACUCGCCACUCUUACAUUGUAGAGUAACACAAACAAGGGUGGAGACAGCACUGACAUACACUCACCGGCCACUUUAUUAGGUACACCAUGCUAGUAACGGGUUGGACCCCCUUUUGUCUUCAGAACUGCCUCAAUUCUUCGUGGCAUAGAUUCAACAAGGUGCUGGAAGCAUUCCUCAGAGAGCUUGGUCCAUAUUGACAUGAUGGCAUCACACAGUUGCCGCAGAUUUGUCGGCUGCACAUCCAUGAUGUGAAUCUCCCGUUCCACCACAUCCCAAAGAUGCUCUAUUGGAUUGAGAUCUGGUGACUGUGGGGGCCAUUUGAGUACAGUGAACUCAUUGUCAUGUUCAAGAAACCAGUCUGAGAUGAUUCCAGCUUUAUAACAUGGCGCAUUAUCCUUCUGAAAGUAGCCAUCAGAAGUUGGGUACAUUGUGGUCAUAAAGGGAUGGACAUGGUCAGCAACAAUACUCAAGUAGGCUGUGGCGUUGCAACGAUGCUCAAUUGGUACCAAGGGGCCCAAAGAGUGCCAAGAAAAUAUUCCCCACACCAUGACACCACCACCACCAGCCUGAACCGUUGAUACAAGGCAGGAUGGAUCCAUGCUUUCAUGUUGUUGACGCCAAAUUCUGACCCUACCAUCCGAAUGUCGCAGCAGAAAUCGAGACUCAUCAGACCAGGCAACGUUUUUCCAAUCUUCUAUUGUCCAAUUUCGAUGAGCUUGUGCAAAUUGUAGCCUCAGUUUCCUGUUCUUAGCUGAAAGGAGUGGCACCCGGUGUGGUCUUCUGCUGCUGUAGCCCAUCUGCCUCAAAGUUCGACGUACUGUGUGUUCAGAGAUGCUCUUCUGCCUACCUUGGUUGUAACGGGUGGUUAUUUGAGUCACUGUUGCCUUUCUAUCAGCUCGAACCAGUCUGGCCAUUCUCCUCUGACCUCUGGCAUCAACAGGGCAUUUCCGCCCACAGAACUGCCGCUCACUGGAUAUUUUUUCUUUUUCGGACCAUUCUCUGUAAACCCUAGAGAUGGUUGUGCGUGAAAAUCCCAGUAGAUCAGCAGUUUCUGAAAUACUCAGACCAGCCCUUCUGGCACCAACAACCAUGCCACGUUCAAAGUCACUCAAAUCACCUUUCUUCCCCAUACUGAUGUUCGGUUUGAACUGCAGGAGAUUGUCUUGACCAUGUCUACAUGCCUAAAUGCACUAAGUUGCCGCCAUGUGAUUGGCUGAUUAGAAAUUAAGUGUUAACGAGCAGUUGGACAGGUGUACCUAAUAAAGUGGCCGGUGAGUGUAGUCAAAUGAAGUAAAAUAAAGUUGAAAUUCUACUCAGUAGAAGGAAAAUAUUGUGAAUCUACUCAAGUAAAAGUAAAAAAAUAGACUUUAUUUAAAUUUAAAUUUAUGUACUGAGUAGCUACUGUGAGGGCACAUUCAUACCAAGACUGUUUGGUUCGUACUGAAAAGACCAUGGUCCGCUUAAUCCUUAAGUCCGGGUGGUAUGAAUGCGCAAGCAAACCAUGGUCCAGAUCAAACCAACGGACCAUGGUUCUCAGUCCCCUUCCACACGAACAAUGGUCCGGUCCGUGGAGGGUGUGAACUCCGCGCUAAUGCAGCCGGACUUUGUAUAUGUCAAUAUAAACAAAUAAAACAUUUUCACUGUAAUAAAGCCGGGAAAUCAGAUGAAGAACAGCCGGUCAAAACACCAGACUGUCCGUAAAACUGGACAAACGGCAGAGGGUUUGUGUUUGAAUACAAUAGUGGGGUGAUAAAUAUUAAAUACCUGGGUGUUCUUCUGUUCAACAAACAGGCUGACAAUGGGUUCUAGGCAUUCCUUUGCAUUAAUGCCCAGCGUCUCCUCGCACAACAUUUUCGCCACCUCGAGUGAAUUGCGUGAAGCAAAACGCUUAUUGUUCCCUCUGGUUGGCUACUCUCUGUGUGUUGUGGGACCAUGAAGAUUGUGCCCCAAAUGAGCAGGUGAUAGACAGUAAUUUUCCCUCUUUUUUAACCAUUUGGUUCACUUAGCUAAAGACCCAUGUGAACGCUAACCGGACCAAAUGCAAAAUGCAAUGAUGUAAACAUUUGGUCCCUGAUCCGGACCUUCUAAAAGGACUUUGGGUGAGAAAGGCUCCUUAAUCAAAGGGGAUUUCAUCCAAGGUUGAAGUCACCGAAUAUUUUUUUGCCUCGUUAUAUUCAAUGUUGUGUUUUGUGGAUGGUUCUCCUUCAGAGUUACGGCCUACUGUGCAGAAAGUUCACUAUUAGCUGUCCAGUUUUCAGGACGACUCAUAUACUAAUGAGAAUCAGGUUUUAGCUCACUGUCUGCUUCACUAGAGUUGGAAAGGGGUGUCACAAAGUUUCACUAACAGUUGCAGACCCACAUACCAAAAACAUGCGAUUGUAUUUCCAGCUUUACAGGAUUCCCUCUUGUAAUGUAGGCAGAAAUAAGCAUGUUCCUUUCCUCAGCAUACGAAUUCACCUGACUGUCAGCCUGUCAGUUGGCAGGUCAUGCAGCUGAAGAAAAGCUAGUAUCCUUUUUGAUUUUCACUUAUUUCAAAGUGGACAAAACUUCUGUGUAAAAUUGCCUUGUUAAAAAUACAAUAUUUGAUUUAAAAAAAAAAAUUUAAAAAAAAAAGCAAGGCUGGUCAUGUGAGUAAUGUGAGUAAAUUUAACAGUUACCUUCAACCCCAGCCAAAGACCAUCAUCAUAUUUUUAAAGGUACUCAAGCCCACACUCACUCACCAAAAUGUCUACCCACACCAUGCAAUGGUUAUACGUGUUUCCCUCUGGUUUUACUUCCUUUUCCUCUUUCUAAUAACAUGACAUUUCCGUGGUGUCAGCCCUAAAAGGGUCUAUAUUUUGGAUCAGGUCUCAUUUAAAACAGUUGUGCUCUAAACCAGCAGGGGUCCCUUAUUUGCUUUUAAAUAGCCUCAAACUCAAUGAUCCUCCUCUGUUUUUUAAUAUAUAUUGAUGAAAGAAUAAAACUUCCUCACAAGAACAAAGUGAUGGAAUCUCUUUGUGGCCUGUCUCUCUUUAGCUUUUCUAUCUGCAAAGUUAAAAAAGUCCACGAACACAAAUAAAACAAAGCAGUGGUGUGUCUGUGUUGUGUUAACACUGGGUGGAUUUUCAAGACCACCUCAAUCUGCUCAUGUAUGACUUGUCUAAAUGUGGCUGAUGGAGCACCGUGACUUGUGACUCAGACUUACAGUAAUCUUAAGACUGUUACGGGUCAAUUCAUAUAGGUGUGUCCCUGUUUGACACAAAACUUUAAAGACAUUAAUACUUUUCUGCUUUAAAGGAUCUUCUAGUCAACAAUUCAUCAAUCAAUCUUUAUUUAUUUAGCCCCAAUUUACAA